rnacentral:ncRNA from 2 species
UGUUGCAUUUGCAAAGCUGGAGUGAUCCGGCGACGCAAAGCCAGGGGGACUUCCGUAUCGGAAGUCAGCCAGUUGUCCGCC